UUAGUCCAAAAUGAUGGCAUAAAUCAGUUAAUUCUGAGUUAUUUAAAUCUGCUGUAAUGUUGUGAACUCACACUAAAGCUCAGCCUUUAAGAUGUGCCAACAACACUAUUUUGUCCUAUUUUCUUUCUUUUUAUCCUCCUUAUCGUUAAAAAUAGCAUCGGAAUUUCCACUGAUGCACUUCAGAGGUUUAUAUUACAUGAAACAACCAAGCAAAAUUAGGAAAGAAGUAAUAUCUGGCUUCUAAAAAGAUGCCUUUAAUUCUUGGCUUCUGAAUCUUACAUCGGGUUUUGUUUACAUUUUUCCUUUCAGACUUUUUUUUCUGUUUUUCUUUUCAGACUUUUCAGAUUUUUACUUACUUCUAAAUAUAUGUCUUCGUUUGGAAACAGUGAGUCUUAUGUCUGUAAGGUUGUGCUUUCCAUUUUGCUUUGGCCACUAGGAAGCUCUGGGCCAACAUUGUGGCUGGCUUUUAGCAACUUGUAGGACCCUAUGGUGCUCACCCAGGAGUAUGAACCCCACCUCUGGAUUCCAAUCCCCACCACUUCCCCUUAACUUCACUCUUAUUCGUUAAAAUUUUGUUUAUGGAUUUCUAUAAGCCACCUCCCUCUCUCCUCCACAUUUUAGAAAAUGAACAAGGUACAUGGCGUGUUCUCCUGCAAAUUUGCUUACUGAGAAAAUGGUGAAGUUCCCCAGAAGGUGACUCCCAUUUCUACCCAGGGGUGAAGUCUCCCACCUGGGGGUCUCUGUUUCAUUUACAUCUUGUCUCCGGGCCUCGCCCAGUGGUGGGCCCUCCAGUGCCCGGGGAUGAGCGCAGUAAAAAAAUACAGGCGGAUGAUAAGGAGCCUGAGGGCUGCUGAGCAAGGAGACCCAGAAAUCUCGCUUUCCAAAGGGCUCUUAAACUUAAUGGGAGGAAGGAUUUCUGCUAUAACCUCUAGAGGUUUCUGGAGCGUGGCCUUGGUAAAUGGGACAAGAGCCUUACAGGCUGGCGAGCGUGGGUAGAUCCCAGUCUGCAAACCCUCUUGUGGCAACAGCCUAUGCUGUUUCCAUCUCCGUUUACAUGCAUGUACACGCGAAUUUGAAAACGUCACAGUCUACUCCCCCAUCCCUUCCCUCCCUCUUUCUACCCUGCCAGUAUUCCUACUGAGGGUGUUCCUCCUCAGAACCCUCAGAGACCACAUCUGCUUUGAGGGAAUAUUGCCCAGAUGCAUGGCAUCUUGCCCCAUCUGUGCGAUGCCCUCUCCCCAGGGGAGAAAGGGAGGUCUCCUUUGAAAAUACCUUCUUCCCCUAGAGGGUUCACUUUUAAGACUGUAUAAAGCUGCAGCUGCCUCUGGAAAAAAAAAAAGUAAAGGUGAGUUUUCUCUCUUAAAAUCUGGUUAGUUAAUAAGAGUCUUGAGCAAACAAGCGCAUAAAAUGUAAGGUUGUUGGGUUUUUUUUUCUCUGAUUAAAGUAUAGAAUCUAUUUUCUUACAACAUGCCGGAUGAUCUUGGCUUUUUGCCUCCCUGAGAAUGCUGCAGACACAGAAUCCAGUCCAUCGACUCUUCAUUUCUAAAAACCAAAACCAAAAGCAAAAAACUGCCCCCCCCCGCCCCGCCUCAAAACCUCUAUUGGUGAAUUUCUUCUCAAAAUGUGUACUUAGGACAGCAGACAUUUCUGACAAGUCAAGUACAGGUGAUUAAAGCUUGCAACGUCAAUCAGUUAACAUCUGUAAUUUUCCUUGUUCUCUAAUGCUAUUAGUUAUUUCAAGGGUAAAAAAGGAUGUUCUACUUAAUUUUUUUGAAUCUUACUAGGUACCCGUAGCUUAACUUAAUGAUUUGUAUAAGUGAUAGUAAUUGCCGGGACUACAGUUGAGUAUUAUUAGCUAUAAAAUGAACAUGGUUAUAUGUCCAACAGAACUAGCAAGGGACAGAAAUGCAGUUGUAUCCAAGAGAAAAUAAUUACAGCAAUAAUCAGCGUAAUUCAUGAUAAUGGCUGAAUUGAAUUUCACACCAUAGCUCCAAGCACUUACAUUUAAUGAAUGUAGUUUGUGCUUGUUUACUAAAAAGGUUUUUAGCAGAAAAUCGAUAAUGUAACUUCAGUGUUUCUAAUUGCAAAUGCAAUUAUUUUUUUUAAAGUAGUGGUUCAAUAAGGAUUUUGUAGAGAAAAUUGAGGUAUGUGAGCUCUGCACAUGUGGGCGCUUUAAUUAGUCUACCUGUGCAUUAGUGCUAUGGCGCCUUAAUAUCUAUUUAUUACAACAUAUUGAUUAAAAUGGAUUUGUAUUCCAUUUUAAGGCUAGCUAAUGUAAUGGACAUUGAAACUUUUCUGGAAGCAUUGGCUGGGAUUACAACAUGUCACUGGGUAAUGAGGCUUUCCUUCAAGAGGUGAUUUCAGAAAUCAUCCUACAAACCCAAUAGUGGGGCCAAGGAGGGGAGGGCCAGGGGACGUGCUAGUCUCCGUGCAACGAGUGGCAGGGACACGCAUGGGGUUCAGUGAAACAGGAGGCGUGUGCAUUUAUGACAUUGUUACAGAUUCGUGCUUUCUUGGGUUAACUUCUGGGUGUGUGUUUUCCAAGCCCAAGGUAUGCUUAAGGUGGUUAUUUCGGGGGUUGAUAAUCUCCUCCAGAGUAAAACCUUUUGGGAGGCUUCUGAAUUUGCAGAUGCACAGCUAGUCUAGCCUGAACCCCUCAUCCUACAGAAGCUGAAGGCAAGUGCCUUGUGUCAGGUCUCAGGACUCUGAAGUAAACCAGUUGACUUAGUUCAGGUCCAGCGUUUAUGAGUCACACUGAUGUGAGCCUUCUUUCCCAAUUGUACCCUUUGUUCAAGACCGACCAACCUUGAGCUUAACCUUCUCCCCCAUGUGCCUGGCCAUUAUAGUCACUGUCACAUCACCACCACCACCACCAUCACCACCAUCAUCAUCCUCUUUCCCGAUGUCUUAUCUCUGCGGCAUGCCCGUGGUUGUAUGAUACGGUCUUGCUGAGCAUUAUGGGAACUCUUUUCCACCAGAGAGGGUGAAGAUGUAGUUCUGGACCAGCUGAAAUCCCUUAAUAACCUGAAUUUUAGGUAUAUCCGCUGGCUUGAGAUUUCAGAGCAAGCUCUGAUAAUAUCCUGGUGUUGCUAUCUCAAGACCAAGUUAAUUUGAAACACGAAUGCUUUGAGUGGGAGGAAGGCGUGUGUAUUGUAAUUUGAUAAGCAAUGCUAAAAUGUGCCACUGAAUCCCAAAGACUUUUAAGUCCUGCCUCCCACAAUAUCACUUGGAGUCUAUGUGAGAAGCAAAUGUACCAAUCGCCCCGAGCUCCAACAGGGUCUUCUGUCCUGGUUUUAUUAAAAAAGGACCCCUGGCAGGAGGCCAGCUGAGUUUCUGGACCACCAUGACAAGGCCUGGGCUGAUAACUUUUUGGGAAAAUGCCUCCUACCCUCCAAGGGCCAGGUAGGCUCCCACAGCCUCCAGGAGGCCCAAGAACCAGGAACUGUGGGUCACUCCCUCCUCUGGCUUUCUUUGGCACAUCAAAUGAAAGGCCACGCAAUGAGCGCUUCCCGUGUGGCGUGCGCUACGCUGGGUGUGUGACCUGGGUCACCUCCUGCUUGUACAACGGCCCUGUGAGGCGGGUGGUAUGGUCACUCCCAUUUUCCAGAUGAGGACACCAAGGCUCAAUAGGGUUAAGUUGAUGGCCCAGAUCCUGAUGGUUAGAAAGUCGUUGAAAGAGCUGGAGUCCCAAGUGCCUUCCUGUACACGUCACCGGCUCCCCACUGUGUGUCCCCACGUGGUCCACAUCGACUCUACCUGCUAUUAGAGGUCACCAGGGGUGCAUUUUUCUCAUCACGGGGCUGCAAAUUAGAUUUCAGUCUCUCCCUCCACUCCCUACUCCCCUUCCCUGCCCCCCUCCCUCCACUUCUGGUGCCCUGUCCAUGAAUCAGUAAAUGUUAGGUAAGCGAAAGAUGCCAAGACCCAGGCGAAUCUGACCCGAUUGUGUCUCUUUUUGUGCAGAGAGCACAGCUGCCAUCCACGUCCGUUGUGAGCCUCCGCGCUGUCUUCCUGGCGUCCGGAGGCCGGGCAUGUGGCCCAUUUCAGUGUGUCGCGACCCGAUCGGCACCUGCACCACAGUGCCAAGCAGGUGGCUUUCGCCUUCGCUGGCACGUCCCACAAAACGUAGAAGCCGCCCCUGAUCCUGCCACAGGAGAUGACAGAAGAAGACUUUUUUUCCAGAAAGAUGAUUGCAAAAAUGAAAAGCAAAACAACAAAUAAGCAAACCAAAAAUCAA